rnacentral:rRNA from 1 species
CGCUGGCGGCAUGCCUAACACAUGCAAGUCGAACGGUAACAGGCCCGCAAGGGUGCUGACGAGUGGCAAACGGGUGAGUAAUGCGUAGGAAUCUGCCCCAUAGCGGGGGAUAGCCCGGCGAAAGCCGGAUUAAUACCGCAUGCGCUCUACGGAGGAAAGCGGGGGAUCUUCGGACCUCGCACUAUGGGAUGAGCCUACGUCUGAUUAGCUAGUUGGUAGGGUAAAGGCCUACCAAGGCGACGAUCAGUAGCUGGUCUGAGAGGAUGAUCAGCCACACCGGAACUGAGACACGGUCCGGACUCCUACGGGAGGCAGCAGUGGGGAAUAUUGGACAAUGGGGGCAACCCUGAUCCAGCAAUGCCGCGUGUGUGAAGAAGGCCUGCGGGUUGUAAAGCACUUUUAUCGGGGAAGAAAAGCUUGGGAAUAAUACUCCUGGGUCUUGACGGUACCUGAAGAAUAAGCACCGGCUAACUCUGUGCCAGCAGCCGCGGUAAUACAGAGGGUGCAAGCGUUAAUCGGAAUUACUGGGCGUAAAGCGUGCGUAGGCGGUUUGACAAGUCGGGUGUGAAAGCCCCGGGCUCAACCUGGGAAUUGCAUUCGAAACUGUCAAGCUAGAGUCUAGGAGAGGGAAGCGGAAUUCCGGGUGUAGCGGUGAAAUGCGUAGAUAUCCGGAGGAACAUCAGUGGCGUAGGCGGCUUCCUGGCCUAAGACUGACGCUGAGGCACGAAAGCGUGGGUAGCAAACAGGAUUAGAUACCCUGGUAGUCCACGCCGUAAACGAUGAGAACUAGCCGUUGGGAAGGUUUAACUUCUUAGUGGCGCAGCUAACGCGAUAAGUUCUCCGCCUGGGGAGUACGGCCGCAAGGUUGAAACUCAAAGGAAUUGACGGGGGCCCGCACAAGCGGUGGAGCAUGUGGUUUAAUUCGAUACAACGCGAAGAACCUUACCAGGCCUUGACAUCUACAGAACUUUCCAGAGAUGGAUUGGUGCCUUCGGGAACUGUAAGACAGGUGCUGCAUGGCUGUCGUCCUCGUGUCGUGAGAUGUUGGGUUAAGUCCCGCAACGAGCGCAACCCCUGUCCCUAGUUGCCAGCACGUAAUGGUGGGAACUCUAGGGAGACUGCCGGUGACAAACCGGAGGAAGGUGGGGAUGACGUCAAGUCAUCAUGGCCCUUAUGGCCUGGGCUACACACGUGCUACAAUGGUCGGUACAAAGGGGCGCGAAGCCGCGAGGUGGAGCAAAUCCCAGAAAGCCGAUCUCAGUCCGGAUUGGAGUCUGCAACUCGACUCCAUGAAUUCGGAAUCGCUAGUAAUCGUAGAUCAGCACUGCUACGGUGAAUACGUUCCCGGGCCUUGUACACACCGCCCGUCACACCAUGGGAGUUGGCUGCAAAAGAAGUAGGUAGUCUAACCGUAAGGAGGGCGCUUACCACUUUGUGGUCAAUGACUGGGGUGAAGUCG